GAUGAAGAACGCAGCGAAAUGCGAUACGUAAUGUGAAUUGCAAAUUCAGUGAAUCAUCGAGUCUUUGAACGCACAUUGCGCCCCCUGGUAUUCCGGGGGGCAUGCCUGUCCGAGCGUCAUUGUUGCCCUCAAGCACGGCUUGUGUGUUGGGCCCCGUCCUCCGAUCCCGGGGGACGGGCCCGAAAGGCAGCGGCGGCACCGCGUCCGGUCCUCGAGCGUAUGGGGCUUUGUCACCCGCUCUGUAGGCCCGGCCGGCGCUUGCCGAUCAACCCAAAUUUUUUAUCCAGGUUGACCUCGGAUCAGGUAGGGAUACCCGCUGAACUUAAGCAUAUCAAUAAGCGGAGGA
rnacentral:misc_RNA from 1 species